AGACUGCUUCUUUUGGAGUCUUCUCAGCAAGCCCAGGACAAAGGCUCUCUGAGUCCCUGUCAUUGCCUCAUCUCAGUCCGUCUGCAAUCCUCAUUCCCUAAUCUUCACCAAUGCUGUCUACAUUGACAUGAGUUUGCCUGCUCAGACUACUUCUGACUGGGGAGAAGUAUUAUUGAGGACCGACUCAAUUUCUCCAUUUCAGAAAUCUUUCAGCUUUGUAUCUUUGAAGUGGUCCUUUCCUGAGAUGGCAGAAGGACAUCCAGUCACUGAAAGGAGCUGGAAGGCAGCUGAGGGCAAAUACCAUGGCUGGAAGUCUGCCGCUGCUGUUGCAGAGCACUGCCAAAGGGAGACUGAACGGAAAAGCAAUCAGAACCUACCAAUAGGCAUCACUUCCUUGAUGCAGCCAAACUGUUCAUGAAUGAGAAGUGGUGAGCUGUAGUACCGUCGAAAUCCCUUUGGCUGGAGGGAGAGAAAGCAAAAACAUGUGAAGUGCAUUGCUGCCAUGAUUGACAUAGUAGAAAUAACCUCAGCUCCUUGGCUAGAGGCAUAGCAGAGCUUUUUUAUUUCUUCUGCAAAGUGUGGUGAGACUGGAAAUUUGCCUUCUGUUGUUGAGUCACUGUGGGGUGCAGAGAUCAGGGUUUUAUUUAAUUUUUCUCCUGGAAAAAGCUAAUUUCCCGUAUUUGUGUGGAAAAAGGAGGAGCUCAUUUCCAGCCUUUCUUUUCUUUUGUCUUACACAAAAGCAGCACUAAUUAAUUACAGUAGAAGUGCUGAAUCAUUAGAUGUUCUGAGAAGUUUUAUGUCCUUCUCCAUUUCUUCUUAUGUGAUGUGCAUUUGCACUGUUUUGCAUUUGUUAAACGUGCAUCUAUUCUUCCCCGUGUUUUCAUGUAUCGUUUCUUUAGGUUUUUCUAAAAUUUGCUGCUGACUGACCACAGUUUCCACUCUUUUUUUUUUUUCUUUUUUUUUUUUCCCCAGCUUUACAAGGUCUAAAAACUCCCCAGUUUUUAGAAAAUGCCCCCUAAACAUCUGUUCGUAGAGAAAUGCACUAUAACAACUCAAGCUACAUCACUAAAGAAUACCCAGCAUGGCCAGUGGUGCCCUAUAUCACUCUAUAAAUGAUUCUAAGAAGACUGAAUAUUUCUUGUUAUUUUUCUGUUUACCAUCUCAAAUUGGGAAUGCUUCAGGCAAAGGCAAAUGAAGGUGCUAACACCUAAAUCAUUGGAAAUGCCAUUCAAGGCAUUAGAGAUUCACAAAAGUUCUCUCUGAUCUCUGCAGGCUGUGAGAACUUCCAGCCAUAGUGAGAAGUGGGAAGGCAGCAUGAGGAUGUGCAUCUUUUCUGUAUCUUAUAUUCAGUAUGAAAAAAUUAUACAGUACUAGUUCUUUCACUAAUGAGCUGCAGUAUGGAAUGAGAAGGAGCAAGGGGGCUGGUAAAUUUGGUUACUGACAGAAACAAAUUCCAGAUUCCCCAGCUUCAGUUUAGACCCAAACUAAAUUCAGACACCACAUGAACUCAUAAAACUCCCAUGACUCUGCUGGAAUUCUUCCUGCUAUAAAUUUGGCCUCUUGUUUUCUGUUUUUGUACACUGAUCUCCACAAGAGUUGAGGCUGGAAUCAGGCAAUGUGUGAAGCAAUUAAUGUGAUUUAAUAUUUGGCUUGUCCCAAGCCUGCAGUGAGAUGAUUCUGCAGAUCAACUUCCUAU